GAAGAACUGGUCAGAUUAUCUCGUAUUUACAAAAAUGCUUUCCUACUUACCUAAGAGCUAAGAGAUUUGAGAAUUGAUUGAGGAAAUAUUCAUUAGACAUUUUUGAGACUUUUAAAAUAUAGAAGCUGAUGUAUGUUAAGACGUUUAAGAAGUUUAAUAUAAAUAGUGUGAAUAAUUCUCAGCUUCACUAUUGGUCAGGGAAAUACAAAUUAAAACCAGUCUUUUGGCUGAAAAGUCCAUAUGCUGAGUGAAAAAUAUGUUGUUUUUAAGACCUGGGUUGGAAAGUUCAUCGACUCUGCAGCAUAGUGAGAGAUUCCAUUCUUGGAACUUGGAAAAAAGGUCCAAGGGAUGUGGAAGUUAGGGGAUAGGUUUAUUGGACAAGAUGUUUAUGAAGUGUUCCUGGGUUCAUAAGAGAUAUGAGUCCUAGAAUGAUACACCCAGUGUUCUUCUGUUAUGGAAGUUCCACUUCCUACUGGUCAUGAAUCUACCGACCCAGCAGAAAAGAAGGCAUAAUCAGUAUUCCCAAGAAAUACCGUAACAGGAGACCAAAGCAAGAAUGGCUGUCUUUCUUGGGGCAAGCGACAUGUCAGACAGGACUGGUCUCUGAGAUAAAAAGAUAACAGAAGUCUGUGGGCUUUAUGUCACUGCAGAGGAAAUAAAACAUUU
rnacentral:lncRNA from 1 species